rnacentral:misc_RNA from 1 species
AGUUCGAUCAUGGCUCAGGUCAACUAGCGGGAUGCCUUACAUGCAAGUCGAACGGCAGCACGGACUUCGGUCUGGUGGCGAGUGGCGAACAGGUGAGUAAUGUAUCGGAACGUGCCCAGUAGCGGGGAUAACUACGCGAAAGCGUAGCUAAUACCGCAUACGCCCUUCGGGGGAAAGCGGGGACCUUCGGGCCUCGCUAUUGGAAGCGGCCGAUAUCCGGAUUAGCUAGUUGGUGGGGUAACGGCUCGCAAGGCGACGAUCCGUAGCUGGUUUGAGAGGACGACCAGCCACACUGGGACUGAGACGGCCCAGACUCCUACAGGGAGGCAGCAGUGGGAAUUUUGGACAAUGGGGAAACCCUGAUCCAGCCAUCCCGCGUGUGCGAUGAAGGCCUUCAGGUUGUAAAGCACUUUUGGCAGGAAAGAAACGGCACGGGAUAAUACCCGUGCAACUGACAAUACCUGCAGAAUAAGCACCGGCUAACUACGUGCCAGCAGCCGCGGUAAUACGUAGGGGUGCAAGCGUUAAUCGGAAUUACUGGGCGUAAAGCG